UGCAUGUAAGCUUCUGACCCACUGGGAAUGUUAUGAAAGAAACCAAUUAUUAUUCACAAUUUUUACUAUUAUUCUGACAUUUCACGUUCUUCAAAUAAAGUUGUAAUCCAAACUGACCUAAGACAGGGAAUUUUUACUAGUAUUAAAUGUCAGCAAUUGUGAAAAACUGAGUUUAAAUGUAUUGGCUAAGGUGUAUGUAAAUUUCCAACUUGAACUGUAGAUGUUCACUUGACAAUUAUUAUUUUAAUUUUGUCAUGCCACUUUUGAGCAGAAUUCAUUGUGACUCAUUUGUUUUAAGGUCCAGAGAACAAGGUGCAAGGGGAAAAUAACAAGGGUAAUCCUCCCCCCUCUUCCAAGUGCAAAUCCAACUCCUGUGUAAGUUUGGCUGUAUUUAAAAAUUCAGAAUCUUUCUGCCUGUGUAAACUCAGCCUAUCCUUUUCUGAAACCUGAAGACUCAUUAGGUCCCAGAGCUUGAGUCACACAGAUGCCUAGAGUCAAGGGUUAAAUACCUCAUCGGUCACAUAGAGUCAAUUGGAUAUUAUAUGUGGUUAUAAAUUGUGUGACAGAUCCUCUUCUACACUGUGUUUGUCAGAUACUAACCAUCGCAGAUAUGAAAAACCUGAGAGGACUUGGCGAUAAAGUGUUAACAUGAAACAUUUUUAAAAAUCUGAUCUGAUAUAUUAUGACACAAAGACAAAGAAAAUACACAUUAUUUUCCAUGUGGGUCUGACUGAUGACACAGCCAGUAUCAAAGUCACUGUAUAUGGGAAGGAGUGAUAUGACUUAUUCCAAAAGGGAAGCUUUUACCAGUUCAAAGCCCUCAUUGUGGAAGGGGAUAUAGUGAAGGUCACAAAAAAAGGAAAAGUGUCCAAAAGAAGCCAAUUAGAAGUUCCUCAGAGGCUGGAGUUGGAGGCAAGAAUGCUCAUUGAUCCGGCCCACCAUCCAAUCUGCUCCAUCCCUGAUGUCAAGGCCUCUUACCCAGGCAGCUAGAUGAGCAUUGAUGGAACUGUUAUUGAUAUGACACCUGUGAGUAAAGUGAAUGUGAAAAAGGAGAGCACCAGGAAGUUGAUUGAGCACCACAGCAUGACCUUGCAGGAUGAGACUGGUUCUAUUGAGGUCUGUCUCUGGAGAGAGCAGGCCCGCAACUGCAGUGCUUUGGUUGGAGAUGCCGUAAGGGUGACCAAUGUGUACUCCAGUGAGUACUUUGACAGUAUUUCUCUCAACUCAACUGGAAGAACCAGUGUUUAUAAGGUGGAUCCUGUUACUAAGGGCCGGGUGGUCUGCCAUUGCCUCUGCUUUUCAAAUAGAUGAUCAGCUCUUUAUUGCAGGCUAGUGAUGAUAUUCAUACAAAACCUAUAAAUGUUAUGGUCUCUUUCACUCUGUGGUGUAAAUUAGGUCCAGCCUGCUACUUUGGAGACUGUGAGGCUGUCUAUUGAAGCAAUUGAAAAGUGUACUAAGAUGGGGGUGACCAUGGAAACAGACAGAUGGAAAGCUAAGACCCUUCAAUGUAGCAUCGGAGAUCCUGGUACAGACCUAUGGCAUUAAACUUGAGGGAGACUUUGAAGAGAGGCUUCUUAAGAUAAUGCCACCUUUUGCAGAGGCAAAAAUACAAGGCAAUAGAAUUACAACUCUCAAAGAUUGAAGUCCAUCCUGAAUAAUAAAAGGUUUUGUGGAUGAAAAGUUGGAUUACUGACAACUUUGGCCACAUAACCAAUGACUUGAGCUAGAAUAUAAUUGUUAAUGUAUUGAUUUGUAUUUUUACUUGAACUUUUUCAUUUACUAAUGAACUGAGCUGAAGUGGUACACCGCAAACAAAUAUCAUUGAAUCCAAGAUUUGUUUGAUUUCAGUUUAAUUCCACAUGUAAAACCAUUGUAUUUCACCAGUGGCAAGAGAGGGGUAAUGGAUUUCUAUCUUUAAACUAUUAUACACAAUGUAUUCAGCUAAAAUAAAUUGCUUUUAUUAGAAGCUGAAAGAGACCUGGCUGAUGCCUGUAUUAUAAAUACUGUACAUAGGGCUCUAUUUCAAUCUGUAUGCGCAAUAACAAUCCAAUGGUAAUUUCCAAUUGAGCAGACAUAUGCAGCGUUUACCGUCAACGCGGGACCAUUGCCUU